CGUAGGGGGUAAACGUUGUCCGGAUUUACUGGGUGUAAAGGGGUGCUCAGGCGGUCUUGUAAGUUAGAAGUGAAAUCCUAGGGCUCAACUCUGGAACUGCUUUUAAUACUGCAAGGCUUGAAUAUGGAAGAGGAGGGUGGAAUUUCUGGUGUAGCAGUGAAAUGCGUAGAUAUCAGAAAGAACACCAGUGGCGAAGGCGGCCCUCUGGUCCAUUAUUGACGCUAAAGCACGAAAGCGUGGGGAGCAAACAGGAUUAGAUACCCUGGUAGUCCACGCCUUAAACGAUGAAUACUAGACGUUGGGGUCAAACUCAGUGCCGCAGCUAACGCAUUAAGUAUUCCACCUGGGGAGUACGAUCGCCAAGGUUG
rnacentral:rRNA from 1 species